rnacentral:rRNA from 1 species
UACAGAGGGUGCAAGCGUUAAUCGGAAUUACUGGGCGUAAAGGGCGCGUAGGCGGUGUGUCAAGUCAGGCGUGAAAGCCCCGGGCUCAACCUGGGAACAGCGCUUGAGACUGGCACGCUCGAGUUCGGGAGAGGAUGGUGGAAUUCCCAGUGUAGAGGUGAAAUUCGUAGAUAUUGGGAAGAACACCGAUGGCGAAGGCGGCGACCUGGGUAGAUACUGACGCUGAGGUGCGAAAGCGUGGGGAGCAAACAGG